GACGAACCGUGCGAACGUUGUUCGGAUUCACUGGGCUUAAAGGGCGCGUAGGCGGCCGACCAAGUCCGGGGUGAAAGCCCCCGGCUCAACCGGGGAAGGGCCUCGGAGACUGGUCGUCUCGAGUGGGGUAGGGGCGUGCGGAACUUCCGGUGGAGCGGUGAAAUGCGUUGAUAUCGGAAGGAACUCCGGUGGCGAAAGCGGCGCGCUGGACCCCAACUGACGCUGAGGCGCGAAAGCCAGGGGAGCGAACGGG
rnacentral:rRNA from 1 species